rnacentral:rRNA from 1 species
GCUUGCUCCUGGAUUCAGCGGCGGACGGGUGAGUAAUGCCUAGGAAUCUGCCUGGUAGUGGGGGAUAACGUCCGGAAACGGGCGCUAAUACCGCAUACGUCCUGAGGGAGAAAGUGGGGGAUCUUCGGACCUCACGCUAUCAGAUGAGCCUAGGUCGGAUUAGCUAGUUGGUGGGGUAAAGGCCUACCAAGGCGACGAUCCGUAACUGGUCUGAGAGGAUGAUCAGUCACACUGGAACUGAGACACGGUCCAGACUCCUACGGGAGCAAGCCAGUGGGAG